rnacentral:rRNA from 1 species
AUACGUAGGUGGCAAGCGUUAUCCGGAAUUAUUGGGCGUAAAGAGUGAGCAGGCGGUUAAUUAAGGCUGAGGUUAAAGCGUGGGGCUCAACCCCCUAAAGCCUUGGAAACUGAUUGACUAGAGUACGGGAGAAGUGAAGGUAACUCCAUGUGUAGCGGUGAAAUGCGUAGAUAUAUGGAAGCACACCAGUGGCGAAGGCGCUUCACUAGCCCGAAACUGACGCUCAGUCACGAAAGCGUGGGUAGCAAAUAGGAUUAGAUACCCUAGUAGUCCACGCUGUAAACGAUGACAACUAAAUAUUGCCGCGAGGCAGUGUUGAAGCUAACGCAUUAAGUUGUCCGCCUGGGGAGUACGGUCGCAAGACUGAAACUUAAAGGAAUUGACGGGG